UGGGGAAUCUUCGGCAAUGGACGAAAGUCUGACCGAGCAACGCCGCGUGAGUGAAGAAGGUUUUCGGAUCGUAAAACUCUGUUGUUGGAGAAGAUCAAGGACGUUAGUAACUGAACGUCCCCUGACGGUAUCUAACCAGAAAGCCACGGCUAACUACGUGCCAGCAGCCGCGGUAAUACGUAGGUGGCUAGCGUUGUCCGGAUUUAUUGGGCGUAAAGCGAGCGCAGGCGGUUUCUUAAGUCUGAUGUGAAAGCCCGCGGCUCAACCGGGGAGGGUCAUUGGAAACUGGGAGACUUGAGUGCAGAAGAGGAGAGUGGAAUUCCAUGUGUAGCGGUGAAAUGCGUAGAUAUACGGAGGAACACCAGUGGCGAAGGCGGCUCUCUGGUCUGUAACUGACGCUGAGGCGCGAAAGCGUGGGGAGCAAACAGG
rnacentral:rRNA from 1 species